AUCCAGGAGUGGGGGUGGAGAGGGCAGGGGGGAUGGAUGGUGCUGGGGACCAACUGAGCAAUGGAGUCUGAGUAUGGCAACUUCAAGGCCACCAGGUCACAGCCCACAGCAGAGCUUCACGAGAAGGGGACAUUGGCACCUUGCUAUUUCUAAUCACAAGUCACAAACUUGCUGUCUUUCCUCCCAGGCCAGUGCUAAUCCUGCUAUGGGAGUUGUCUCCCUUCAUGUCUCCUCUGAGUGACCUUGUGUGGCCCCCAGGAAAUUUGAUCUCCUUAGAGUGGCUAUGUAAGCCUGGGAGCUAGUGAAGACAGGCCUUAGGGUCUCAGGCUGCUAAGCUACACAGACAGGACAGCAGGGUGUCCAGCAUGGCUGAGUCCCUAGAGUGAGAAGGCCAGGGACAGAGAAGAAGGUCACCUUCUCGCCCAAGGAGCUCUUAAGCUCCUGCCUUUCUCACCUUGUUCUCUGCAGAGAACCUCAGCUUGCUGCGGGGCAGCACUCAAGUCCAAAGUCCCACCCAGCAGCAAAAUCACAUGACCUCAGUUUAUAUAAUCGCCCUGUUACUGAACAGCUGGAACCCAGGGCUUCAAAAGAUGAGUCAGCAGCCCCAGUGGCAAAUAGGACUCAGGUACUCAGGUUCCACUGCUCCUUAGAAGCAGGUUCUGAAGCAGAAGGCAAGGUGUGGAAGAGACUGGGGACCAGUGAACAGACUGGCUCAGAGCCUCAGGCCCUGAUGCUGUGUCCAGGAGCAGGUUCCUGGCCUGCUGACUGCUGGGGAGGGCGCUGGGCUAACCCCUGGCUCUUAUUGGGGAGGGGAGGCCUGGGCGGGACCAGUGCAGGGCUUCAUCCAGCAGGCAGAGCGCCAGGGCUGGCAGGGAGCAGCUGGAGGGGUGGAGCCGAGGAGGAUUAGGAAGGAUUGUAGGGGUUAAAGCGCAGUCCUGGCAGGGUUCAGUGGGAACAGCUUGUCCUACCAUAGGCCUGGGAACAGAGAGGUAGGGCAGAGGGGGUGGGGAGGUGGUUGGGACUCGGGAUCCUAGUUCUCUCCACCGGGCUGAGCCACCUGGGCUGACCCGGGAGUCCCCAGUGGCUCUCCCUUCCCCAUCCUUGUUCCUUUUGACUCAUCCGUCUGGGUUUGAGGCAGAUAGUAGAACCUCAGGACAGCCCUUCAUUUUCCCAGGGCUGAGCUGUACCCCACAGUCCGGCAUUCUGUGGGUGCCUACACACGGGGACAGAGUUACUCAGAAUUUACAUUCCUCUGUCAAUUCUUUAUUCAUGCUCAGUGGAGUCUGUCCAAGUUCACGUUGGCUGUCACUGGUAGUGAGGGAAGGAGUCUGAUUGGAACUGUUCUAGUCCUGCUGGAGGGCCUGCAGGUGACCUUCCUUUCUGAAACCCAGCUGUAGUUCGGGUCAGCCAUCCUGAGACACCCUGCUGGUGGUAGUGGGGUGCAUAACUACAAUCUCAGCAUUCUGGGAGCCUGAGGCAGGAGGAUCACAAAUUUGAGUUCUGCCUGGGAAAUUUAUCAAGAUGCUGUAAAAAAGCCGGGUGUGGUGGCUCACACCUGUAAUCCCAGCACUCGGAGGCUGAGGUAGGAGGAUCGUUUCGAGUUCGAGACCAGCCUGGGCUACAAAGUGAGUUCAAGGCCAGCCUGAACUGCAUAGUGAGACCCCAUCUCAAAAAAAGAAAAAAAAAAAAAAAGAUGCUAUAAAAAAAAUGUAGGACAUAGUUCUGUGCAAAAGGCUUUGGGUUCAGCCCCUAUUACUUAUUAAUAAUACUUAUUAAUGCGUGUGUGUGUGUGAGAGAGAGAGAGAGAGAGAGAGAGAGAGGUGGAGAGAGACUUUGACAGAUCUUACUCGAUCAAUUUUGUUCCUCUUACAUGGGGAUUCCUACCCUGUGACCCCACCUCCACCCUAGUCAGUGCCCUUUUUUUAAAAUCACCUUCCCAUCCCCGGGUUUAUCUAUCUUUUCUUUUUUUAGCCCUGGGCAUUGAACUCAGGGCCUCACACAGGCUGGACAAGUGCUACACUACUGGUCUGUGUCCGCAGCCCUCCUUUUUGAGUUUAAACAAACUCUUCUGCCUGUUUUACUGCCUUUGGAUUCCUUCACAGUCAUUAUUUGCUUUGUGCCUCUUGGCAUGCCUGUGGGGUAGGCAGGGCAGGUGUGAUCACUCCCUUUUAUGGAUGAGGAAAUGCAGCUCAGCUGAUUGGUGUCCAAGGUUAAGAAAGCACUGUACCUGCCAGAGGUCAUGGGCUACCUGCUCCAGCCUCAGAUGACCUGUCCCUUUUCUGCCACUGCUAACACUUCAACCUGGGCAAUCUCCUGCUGUGCGGGUUGAAGAAUGUAUUUCCCCAAGGAAUUGUGAAUGCCCAAGUCAUGAUCAAUGGCUCAGGCACAUCAGGGCUGACGUGUACCGAGCAUUUACGCAUCCAGUACCUUCUCAUUCCUCACAAGAAUCUGUCAAGUGGGAAUUGUGGACAUUCUUGUUUUACAGCUUCUUCAGAGACUCCUGAGCUGGGCUGAGAACGUGGGACAUUUCAAGAGUUACGCCAGCUUCCAGCCCUCUGGCUGAGGUGACCAUCAGGAGACCUGCUGGCAUCACAGGCUGUCUGCUGGAAUGACCUAAAAAUUGUGGGGUCAGCUCCCUGGCCAGACAAAAGAGGCGCAGGAGAGGAAGCGCUGGGGAAGUGGGUGGAGACUCCAUUCCAGAGCUCUUCCCUGGAAACAAGAACCGCCGCUUGGUCCCCCAGUGGAGGAUACUCCUAUGGCAGAACCCAGUUUCUCACUGAUCUUAAUCUUCAGUUCUAAGCAGAGUCAGUGCCCUGUGGCCUCUCAGGGUUCUUCCAACAGGGCUAUCAACUUGCUCCUGGCAGUAGUUGACUUGUGCAAAGGGGCCCCCUAGAGCCUAACGUCAUGCACUGCAGACGCACUCCCAGGUGUUGGAACCUGUCCUGUUCCCGAAACCCCUUUUCUUGCAGCUGAUGGGAGUCUGGUGAAGGAACACAGAAAUCACUGAAUGGAGAGCUAGGAGGGUCCUAAAGGACCAUGCACUUUAACCUCUCGAUUGUACUAGUGGGAAAAAUGGUACUAGUUAGUCCAGGUCACGCCCUAGCAGUCAGAUCUUUCAGGAUGCACCCAGCCCUCUUUCCACAUAGUUUUGAGUUGCCACCCCUAUUGUAGGUGGGGGUCCCCCAGAGUCUUUCCAACAUCUCCGUAUGCAAACUUUAUCUCCAGAGGAGCUGGAGUGGCAGAGGUGCUAUGGGGGAGAGGAGCAAUUAGAGGGACGCCCCUUUUUUGAGGGCCUGAGGAGCUUGUGGUUGGGGGCACUCCAGAAGUCUGAGCAGUGUGUGAGCGGCUGGUUUGGAUUCCCUGUGACAGACUAGCUGGCCAGUUUUGCACUCCUCAUUUAAUCGUUUUGAGCUUUAAUUUCCUCACCUGUGAAUGAGUAUAAUAAUUACCAUCAUGAUUCUUGUCUCACAGGCUUGUUGUGGAGAAUAAAUGAGAUAAUAACACAUGAAAGCA